AUCUACCUCACUAAAACCCACUCAAAAUCUUCCAACAACCCUCCGUCGUUUUCAUCUAACACCACCGCUGCUCCAACCCAAAACAUCCAUCAUCUUCCUCAUCCAACCUUCCACAAUGCUUAACCCCAUCAAAACCCUCCUUCGAAACUCUCAAACACCAAACUCCACACGCCGACGAACCCCAAACCCACAACCCUGAAAUUUCUCCUAUGAAUUUGUUCGCACCAUCCUUUUCUCCGAAUACAAACCAUACGCAUCUCCUCCGUACCACACGACCGGUGAAUACUCAAUAUCUCCAAGAAUCUCUCGCCGUUGACGGAAAGAAGUUGAAUGAUAUCGUCGACAUAACGACCGGUGAAUACUCAAUAUCUCCAAGAAUCUCUCGCCGUUGACGGAAAGAAGUUGAAUGAUAUCGUCGACAUCAACGAAUUCAACAUCCUUGCAACUCAGGAAUUGUUCAGAGCAAAACUCAACAAUAAUAACUCAAUAGCAACUCAGCGGUGCCAUAGGAUAUCGAACAAGAACGAGGCCACUUGCUUCAGCUUUGUUUUGGAUGAUUUCAAGUUAGAGAGUUUUCUUCGAUUGGUUCGCU
rnacentral:lncRNA from 1 species